ACGAACGCUGGCGGCGUGCUUAACACAUGCAAGUCGAGCGGUAAGGCCCUUUCGGAGGUACACGAGCGGCGAACGGGUGAGUAACACGUGGGUGACCUGCCCUCAGCUCUGGGAUAAGCCUGGGAAACCGGGUCUAAUACUGGAUAUGACUCCAUGACGCAUGUUGUGGGGUGGAAAGCCUUGUGCGGCUGAGGAUGGGCCCGCGGCCUAUCAGCUUGUUGGUGGGGUGAUGGCCUACCAAGGCGACGACGGGUAGCCGGCCUGAGAGGGCGACCGGCCACACUGGGACUGAGACACGGCCCAGACUCCUACGGGAGGCAGCAGUGGGGAAUCUUGCGCAAUGGGCGAAAGCCUGACGCAGCGACGCCGCGUGAGGGAUGACGGCCUGGU
rnacentral:rRNA from 1 species